rnacentral:rRNA from 1 species
CCAGACUCCUACGGGAGGCAGCAGUGGGGGAUAUUGCACAAUGGGGGAAACCCUGAUGCAGCGACGCCGCGUGGGUGAAGAAGCGCCUCGGCGCGUAAAGCCCUGUCAGCAGGGAAGAAAAUGACGGUACCUGAAGAAGAAGCCCCGGCUAACUACGUGCCAGCAGCCGCGGUAAUACGUAGGGGGCAAGCGUUAUCCGGAUUUACUGGGUGUAAAGGGAGCGUAGACGGCGAUGCAAGCCAGAUGUGAAAGCCCGGGGCUCAACCCCGGGACUGCAUUUGGAACUGUGUGGCUGGAGUGUCGGAGAGGCAGGCGGAAUUCCUAGUGUAGCGGUGAAAUGCGUAGAUAUUAGGAGGAACACCAGUGGCGAAGGCGGCCUGCUGGACGAUGACUGACGUUGAGGCUCGAAAGCGUGGGGAGCAAACAGGAUUAGAUACCCCAGUA